GCGGAUAUCGUAUAAGGGCUAUUAUUCCUCCUUGCCAAGGAGGGGAUACGGGUUCGAGUCCCGUUAUCCGCUCCA
rnacentral:tRNA from 2 species